UGCCAGGUGAAAUACCUACCAACAGUGUUGUAUUUAAAGCCUUGAGAGCCUGAGAGGAAACAAAACCUGCUGCUGAUUGUAAUAAAUCCAGUAAACAUUUCAUCCCUGAAGAAACACUUCCCAUGUGUGCUGCACAGAAGGCUUUGCAUCGAGAGUCUGUGAAAACAGAAGAUGCUGCUGUGCACAUAAAAUAAAUCCAAUGGCUUGGGGUGACAUCUGAUACCCACGCACGGUGUGGCACUCCCGAAGAUCUGCCUCCUCCCUCAAGGUGUCCUGCUGAGCCACAGCUCCUCAGACCAACGCCUGCCCUGUCCUCACUCUGAGCAGUGCCUGUGAGCUGCAGGGCCAAGAGAGAGCAGCCCUGUCUGCUCCUCAGAGGAAGCAAAGGAGGGGCCAGACCAGGCUGGUGGUGGCGGCAGAGCCUGGGAUGAGCAUGGCAAAGGAUCAGACGUCCUUGGGAAAUUUAUGCCAUGCAGUUACUGGCUUUGAAAAGAAGAAAAUAAAAGUUGUGUCUUCCUAAUGGGCGUUUAUCAUGGAGCAAAAGAAAAGAAAAAAGAAAAAAGAAAGAAAAGAGAAUAGAGAAGAGAGAAAAGACUGCUCCUGCCUGGGGGUUGUGCAUACUGCCAUGCUAUUGGUGACAAACUCCUGAAGUUAAGCUUUUUCUGCUUCUGAUUUCCAGGAAAUACACAGGUUAUUCUCCAGUUACAACUGAUACAUAUUACAGAAUUGUAGUGAAAAUUGUCUGGCCUUAACCCAACAACCAUAAAGGAGAAAUGCUUCAUAAUUCA